rnacentral:rRNA from 1 species
GAUGAACGCUGGCGGCGUGCCUAAUACAUGCAAGUCGAGCGAACAGACGAGGAGCUUGCUCCUCUGACGUUAGCGGCGGACGGGUGAGUAACACGUGGAUAACCUACCUAUAAGACUGGGAUAACUUCGGGAAACCGGAGCUAAUACCGGAUAAUAUAUUGAACCGCAUGGUUCAAUAGUGAAAGACGGUUUUGCUGUCACUUAUAGAUGGAUCCGCGCCGCAUUAGCUAGUUGGUAAGGUAACAGCUUACCAAGGCAACGAUGCGUAGCCGACCUGAGAGGGUGAUCGGCCACACUGGAACUGAGACACGGUCCAGACUCCUACGGGAGGAAGCAGUAGGGAAUCUUCCGCAAAGGGCGAAAGCCUGACGGAGCAACGCCGCGUGAGUGAUGAAGGUCUUCGGAUCGUAAAACUCUGUUAUUAGGGAAGAACAAAUGUGCAAGUAACUAUGCACGUCUUGACGGUACCUAAUCAGAAAGCCACGGCUAACUACGUG